UACGUAGGGUGCGAGCGUUACUCGGAAUUACUGGGCGUAAAGCGUGCGCAGGCGGUUCGCCAAGUCAGGUGUGAAAUCCCCAGGCUUAACCUGGGAACUGCAUUCGAGACUGCAUUGCUAGAGUAUGGGAGAGGGAAGUGGAAUUUCCGGUGUAGCGGUGAAAUGCGUAGAUAUCGGAAGGAACAUCAGUGGCGAAAGCGACUUCCUGGACCAAUACUGACGCUCAUGUGCGAAAGCGUGGGGAGCAAACAGG
rnacentral:rRNA from 1 species